GCAAUGGAGGUGGUGUUCAGACAAAGAGAGUGGGUUUCAUGUUCAAGGAAGACAUUCUAUAAGAAGUGAUCUCAGACCAUGGGCUAGAGAAGUGGACAGAGAAUUGAACCAGGUAGUCCUUCAGAGCGAGGCUAAGAGCUUUAGAGUCAUCCCUAGCACAGGGAAUCUGCUGAGAGAGUCACUAGAUAUCUGCAGCCUGUUCUAAGGUCAAGAUUCUUGUCAACUUCUUCUCUGAGGUGUUUGCUGUUAGAAGCUCUGCUUCUAGAAGCUCGGUUCCUAGAGCAGAGAUGGUCAUAGGUGGCGAACUCCAAAGAGGUGAUGGCUAGAAGGGACAAAGGUUGGUCUCAUGAGACUAAAGUCCUAGUUUUGAUGUGAUCUACCUCUUUUAUGUAUGUGCUUUCCACUGUAAUUCCAUGCACUAGAGCUAAACUGAUGAUGAAACCAUGCUUUUGAACAUCUAGAAAUGUGAUCCAAAGAAACUAGAGGGACAGACUGUGUUCCAAUGGUCAGAUGCAACUCUCUCACUAACUGAUAGGAGGCACUGUUCUUGUUAUGUUGGGUUAGUGUUUACUGUAAGUAAUGUUCCUCUAGCAAACGCUAAACUACUUUUAAUUUUAAUAAGUCAAAGAUCAGGCAAUUUAAUAUGUAUAUAGAAUUUGUAAAUUAAUUGUAUAAAAUAAUUUACAUAUACAUUUUAUAACAUUAUAGCACAUACAUUUAUAUAAAUAAUAUAGGGUAAGCAUUUAAGCUUAUUUGUUGAGGUAUCCAAGCCUCAACAAAGUGUGGGGUAAGAAACACCAAUAGAGAUGGCUCAGCACUUUGUCCUGUGCCUCUCUCUGUGGCUCACUCUUGUCUCCUGUCACACACUCUCUUCCUGAAGAUGGCAGCCCAAGUUCACAGGGCGCAUGGAGCCCUGUGCUUGCUAUAGAGCCAAGAAUGACCAUGAAGUCCUGACCCUCCUGCCUUCAACUUCCAGGAUUAUAGGUACACACCACAACGUCUGGCUUCUGAAGUUCUGGAAAUCAAAUCCAGGGCUCUGUGCAUGCUAGGCAAGCACUCUGGCAAAUAAGCUUUGUCUCUCUCUGAAGAGAGACUCUCUUUUUUCUUUCAGUACAUUUGUAAUUGAAAAUAGACACCACUCUCCUAACUUCCUUCUUCCAACCCCUUCUAUGCAACCCCAUUCUCCAGCCAGUUGGUAGCCUCUUUUCAUUACUAUUAUUUUCUAUCUAUCUAUCUAUCUAUCUAUCUAUCUAUCUAUCUAUCUAUCUAAUCUACAUAUCAUCUAUCUAUUAUCUAUCUAAUAUAUCUAUCUAUUUAAUCUAUAAUCUAUCAUCUAUCAUUCUAAUUAUCAUCUAGCUAUCUAAUCUAUCUAUCAUUUAUCUUUGUUUCUAUCUAUCAUUUAUCUUUGUUUCUAUCUGUCUAUCAAUCAUUUAUCUAUGUAUGUAUGUAUCUAUCCAUCCAUCUAUCUAAUCUAUUAUCUAUCUAUCUAUCUAUCUAUCUAUCUAUCUAUCUAUCUAUCUAUCUAUCUAUCUAUCUACCUACCUAUCUAUCUAUCUAUCUAUCUAUCUAUCUAUCUAUCUAUCUAAUCUAUUAUCUAUGUAUCUUCAUGUAUACAAAGAUAUAUAAAUACAGUGUGAUGAGUGAGCUCAUUUUCUUGUUUGUAUGUAUAUCCUUUCAGGGAUGACCACUUUGCAGUGGACAAUGAUAAGGUAGCUUAUCUUUGAGAGGUCAACUCUACUCCCAGCAGUCAUUUGUUGUCUACAGUUCUUUGACUAGGGGCAGGGCUGUCCAAAAUUUGAAUGGUAGAUGAUAUUUACAUAGAUGUGGUAACUUCAUCCAAUUGUAUACAAAUGUUGUAUUCUGAUUAAAUGGAAGAAUUAUCAAAUAGAUGAAAACCCCCAUCUUUUAAAUAAAGUCCUUCCAUCCAAUGAAGUAAAUCAUGAAGCAAUAAAUGUAGAAACAUGAGAUAAAUCUAAAAAAUAUAUGGCUUCAACCUGAGCCCAGUGCAUCUUGACCCAGCCUGCCCACUGGCAUCCCCUAGGGAGGUCAUGUGACCUACACAUGCUGUGCUAAUCUCACAUCUGCUGUAACAGUAAAACCUCUCUCCACCCUUCAAUCCGCCUCCUCUGUGAUUCCCAUAUUCUCCUGUCCACACUGUUCCACCCUUCUGCUGCACCACCCAAUGGCCCAAAGGCCUUAUUUAAUUCAGCUAAGCAUUUCCCAUUUUUCAAGAACGAGCUUGCU
rnacentral:lncRNA from 1 species